rnacentral:lncRNA from 1 species
CCAGGAUCCAACCACAUUUUGCCCUUACCUCCAUCAUCGUCCUGAUCCAGGCCACCAUCAUCUCUCACCUGGAUUAUUACAACAGCUGUCUAACUGGCCUCCCUGCCUCCACCAUGCCUCUCACCACAAAGCAGUCUGAGUAAUUCUCUUGGAUAUUCCAGGUAGUCAAGGAUGCAGAUGUCCCUCCCUGAGCCAGAGACAACCUGAGUGACAGCCCCAAACCCCUUCCCUCCAAUGAUCGAAGCUUUGUUUUGGGAUCCAGCUGCUUCUGCCUAGCUGCCUUGCCCCUCUGGACAAGUCCUCACCCAAGAAGCCCUGGGACUAUCACAUAGAGACAGCCUGGUAUGCCAUUUCCCAGAUAUGGCCAAACUACUAUGGACUUCAGAGACACACCUGGCUUGAGAUUAUAGGAUUCUUGAUCUUAUUCCUACUUGCUUCAGUUAUUGAUGAAAAUAGGCUGAGCCUCAUAACAAAUGUUGGAGAAUGCUUAUGUUCACUUUUAUUUGGUUAAGAAUGAAUGAAUAAAUGGAUGAAUGAAAGGAU